rnacentral:tRNA from 1 species
GGGGAUAUGGCGAAAUUGGUAGACGCUACGGACUUUUUACGACCUAAGCAUUUAUCCUCUUUUUUCGCCAGCG